ACAAACGCAUAAUUUCAUGGUAAUCUGUACAUACAGAUUUUAAAUUGGAAUCAGGUGCAAAUCCUGAGCGGUCCCGCCGCCGUGAUAGGGAGUCAAGGUAAUAUACCACUGGGAAACUGGGAAGGUGCCAAGACGAUGAUCUUAAGCCGGAAUACUUGCCAUGAUCUAAGGAUAUACU
rnacentral:ncRNA from 20 species